rnacentral:rRNA from 1 species
GAUGAACGCUGGCGGCGUGCCUAAUACAUGCAAGUCGAGCGGUAAGGCUCUGCACUUAGUAUUUGAUCGUAGAGCUUCGGCUUUGGAUCGAACCAAAUCAAACCUAGGCUAGGGGAGAGGCGGCAAGUGAGAUCGAAUAAUAAGUGUAGAGUACACGAGCGGCGGACGGCUGAGUAACGCGUAGGAACGUACCCCAAAGUGAGGGAUAAGCACCAGAAAUGGUGUCUAAUACCGCAUGUGCUCUAAGGAGUAAAGCUUCGGUGCUUUGGGAACGGCCUGCGUUUGAUUAGCUUGUUGGUGAGGUAAAAGCUCACCAAGGCGACGAUCAAUAGCUGGUCUGAGAGGAUGAUCAGCCAGACUGGGACUGAGACACGGCCCAGACUCCUACGGGAGGCAGCAGUAGGGAAUUUUCCACAAUGGGCGAAAGCCUGAUGGAGCAACGCCGCGUGCAGGAUGAAGGCC